rnacentral:snRNA from 1 species
GAAUGUGAGGGCAAUCUGGCUGCAACAUCUGUCACCCCAUUGAUCGCCAGGGUUGAUUCAGCUGAUCUAACUGGCUAGGCGGGUGUCCACUUCCAACCACAGUGAUCCAUGUGCAUCCCUCUGGAAGCUGCACACUCAGAUGAAGAGGACGACCACCCCCAAUACAGGAGGACCGUUCCUCAGUCAAGGGUAUACGAGUAGCUGCGCUUCUCUGCUAGAACCUCCAAACGACCUCUCAAGAAAUCAUUUCUGAAGUAAAAAAAGAAAUGAUAACUAUAAUGAAAGAAGUACUAAGUGCUU